rnacentral:rRNA from 1 species
AGAGUUUGAUCCUGGCUCAGAACGAACGCUGGCGGCAGGCCUCAAACAUGCAAGUCUAGGGGGUGUAGCAAUACAUCACCGGCGGACGGGUGCGUAACGCGUGGGAAUGUACCUAUUGGUUCGGAACAACUGAGGGAAACUUCAGCUAAUACCGAAUGUGCCCUUACGGGGAAAGAUUUAUCGCCAAUGGAUCAGCCCGCGUCCGAUUAGCUAGUUGGUGGGGUAAUGGCUCACCAAGGCUCCGAUCGGUAGCUGUUCUGAGAGGAAGAUCAGCCACACUGGGACUGAGACACGGCCCAGACUCCUACGGGAGGCAGCAGUUGGGAAUCUUGGACAAUGGGGGAAACCCUGAUCCAGCCAUGCCGCGUGAGUGAUGAAGGCCUUCGGGUUGUAAAACUCUUUCGCGCACGACGAUAAUGACGGUAGUGCGAGAAGAAGCUCCGGCUAACUUCGUGCCAGCAGCCGCGGUAAUACGAAGGGGGCUAGCGUUGUUCGGAAUUACUGGGCGUAAAGCGCGCGCAGGCGGUCUUCCAAGUCAGUGGUGAAAGCCCGGAGCUCAACUCCGGAAUUGCCAUUGAAACUGUUGGACUGGAGUAUGAGAGAGGUGAGUGGAAUUCCCAGUGUAGAGGUGAAAUUCGUAGAUAUUGGGAAGAACACCGGUGGCGAAGGCGGCUCACUGGCUCAUUACUGACGCUCAUGCGCGACAGCGUGGGGAUCAAACAGGAUUAGAUACCCCGGUAGUCC